GUGAUCAUCGAAUCUUUGAACGCACCUUGCGCCCUUUGGCAUUCCGAGGGGCACACCCGUUUGAGUGUCGUGACAUUCUCAAAACCUUCUUGGUUUCUUGACCAGGGAAGGCUUUGGACUUGGAGGCUUUUUGCUGGCUUUCCUUUGUUGGAGCCAGCUCCUCUGAAAUGGAUUAGUAGGGUCUGCUUUGCCGAUCCUUGACGUGAUAAGAUGUUUUCUACGUCUCGGGUUCUGCACUCCUGCUUCUAACUGUCUCAUAGAAGACAAAUGGUCAAAGUGAUUGCCACUUUUUGACCUACGAACCUUGACCUCAAAUCGGGUGAGACUACCCGCUGAACUUA
rnacentral:rRNA from 1 species